UACGAAGGGUGCAAGCGUUAAUCGGAAUUACUGGGCGUAAAGCGUGCGCAGGCGGUUUGCCAAGACAGAUGUGAAAGCCCCGGGCUCAACCUGGGAAUGGCAUUUGUGACUGGCAGGCUAGAGUGUGUCAGAGGGGGGUAGAAUUCCACGUGUAGCAGUGAAAUGCGUAGAGAUGUGGAGGAAUACCGAUGGCGAAGGCAGCCCCCUGGGAUAACACUGACGCUCAUGCACGAAAGCGUGGGGAGCAAACAGG
rnacentral:rRNA from 1 species